UACGGGCCCCAUUGAAGAGAAAGUCUCAUGAGCACAGCUGAUGUUGAAAAGCUCCUGUCAUAUCUCAUCCUGUUUUGCGGCAGCAAGUCACCGUACUUUCCCUGAGGGCGGGGCCCUGCACCCAGUGGAGUGGCGCCUUGCUGUCCUCUCGUGACUGACUUUGGCAUGGAUUGGACUACUGCUCCGAGCUCGGGGCCUGAUGGGACGGUUUCCGGGGGCCUCUGGAGAAGACGCCCAUUCGCCGACGUGUGAAGCCUGCAUCUGACACCAGCAAUGCCCUUGUGGUGCUCCAUCAGAUCCUCAUGAUGUGAUGGUUUCAUCCCUUCCCACCACCCCGCUGCCUGGUCCUACUUGACAGUGAACCUGUCUCCAGUUACUCUCCUUGGAUGUUGGAGUCAUAGCCAAUGGAUGGCGUGAAUGGAGAGGGGCUCCCAGAUUAGCCAUCGGGGGCCUGUACACCUGGCUUGGGGCACAGCAGCAAGGUCUGGAGCAUCUCUGUCCAGCCGAGACUCAGUUUUCAUUUCUACCCCGUGCCCCUGGGAAAUGAAAGCACAAAAGCCUCUUUUCUGAAGCUUCUGACCUGCUUUCUCCUGGGGAAGAGUGUUUGGUCCAGAAGAAGCUGGGAAUACUCCCCACGACACCACACCCGGGAUAAGUGUACAAGUUAAUGCUUUUACUUAAUUACGGAGUUGUGCAGCCACUACCUGACGCCGUUCCCAUUGCCCCAGACAGUUCCUUUGGGCACUUUUAUAGUCAGAACCUCCUCCCACCCCCCAG